AAGUCGUAACAAGGUUUCCGUAGGUGAACCUGCGGUAGGAUCAUUAUUGACUGGUGAAUCGUUGCCCUUCCAGUGCUGGCAUCAGGCAAGUGCACGUUGGUGACUUUCAUCCAACACCCUUGUGAACCUUUGGCCUCUUGCUGGCUUCGGUUGGCAGAGGAUUUUUUACACCAACUCGAAUGUACUGAAAUUAUUGUCGUGCGCAAGCACUAAUGUACAA
rnacentral:misc_RNA from 1 species